rnacentral:lncRNA from 1 species
GAUACAUAAGGGGUUUUGAUCUUAAUUGACCCUUCUCUAACCUAAUUGGUAGGUCUACGAACGCAACGGUGCGCUCGGUUCGGCGAUCCGACGAGUGUACGCGGAGAUACUGAGGAUCGAAGCCGUUAAGGUACAGAUUGCCGCAGCUCGCGGCGUAAGCUUCCAAAAAUCAUGAAAAUGGAAUCGUAGCAUCGUGGUGUCGGGGAAUAAACUCCAGAACAAACGGAUCGCGGAUAGGAGGUUAUUUGGCAGUCGCGCGUGAGUUGGGUCGAGCUGUGCGGCGUGCGCCGCAGGAGGCCGAUUGCGAGUGACGACGAGCAAUCGGAACGCUAUAAAAGGUGGGUGGUGUCCAUCCCGAAGCAAUCGGGCUCCCUUUUAUGUCUAAGUUUUAUAUUGAUCAAAUUGCAUAUUGACAUCUUGCAUUAUAGGGUGAUAAAUGAUGGUUUGGUCCUAUACCUUGCAUGUUCUUUGGUAGAAUAAUGUAUUUGGCUUAGUACUUAUAUCUAGCAUGCUUGAGGUUUAUAUAUGUGAUGUGGAACCCUAUAAUGAGAUGAUAAGUGUGGAUGGGAAUUUAGUAAUGUAUUGGCUAUUGCAUUGGAAACUUGUAAAGAACGAGUGGCAUCUAGUUGAUAGUAAACAAAAGAACGAGUGACAUAUGUGAGUCGUAGUGUAUAUGAAACCUAUGGACUAUAUGAUGAUUGUGACCCUAGAGGACAGGGUAUCCUCGAGCUUAGAGGAUUGGAUCAUGCUCACGGUCUGUUUUAAAUCUUGUGAUGGAAGCCCCACACAAGUAGUGCGCUCCGGAGUUGGUCACGUGGGAUUGCCGAUUUCGGGUCCCAAGGGAUUGCCUAUUUGGCCCCGCCAGACGGUCUCGGGUCCGUAGUGUGAGUUAAUUCUCCCUACGUGUCGAGAUGGCUAGUGAGCUGUAGGCGAGCCUUCGGGUAAGCCAUGAGAUUAAUGAACAAGUAAAUGAGGUUAAUGAACGAGUGAAUAGCUUCACCUUUGGACAUGAUAACAGGUUAGUUGCUUACCUAUUUCAUUGUACAUGCAUUCAUAUAUUAUGAUUGGGCAUAGUAGAGUAGCUUUACUUCUGUCCUUUACCGCUUUCCUUAUCUAUCUAUCUAUCUAUCGAUUAUCUACUUGUGCCCAACUUGGACCUAGUGGGGAGAUCGGCGGAGUCGGCGGCCGAACCCACUGGGAACUAAGGAAGUUAGUUCUCACCCCCAUUUUACUACAGGGUCGAGCGCGAGUUCACACGGCGAGGAUCGCGGUAAGGGCCUAGCGCCCUAGUUGCAUU